rnacentral:misc_RNA from 1 species
AAAAAAAUACCAAAAAAAAACCUACUAAUUAUGUGGUUAGUAUUUUAUUUUAAUAUUAUAAAAUUUAAAAUAAAAAUUAAUAAAAAAUUAGCUACUAUCUAGUCAGUCAGUAAUUAUCGACUAAAUUAGCUACUAUUUAUUUAAUUGGUAAUUACCGACUAAAAUAUUUUAGACGGUAAUUAUUGACUAUAUAAUUUGUGUCGGUAAGUAUUAACUAAUAAAUGAUCUCUAAAUGAUAGUUAAUUCCCUCAUACCCUACUAUUUGACUACGAUAGUACUAGCAAAUUACCUAUUAAUAUCUUGGUCGGUAAUUUUAUCGACUAAUAUUUGGUUGGUAAUUUACCAACUAAAAAUAGAUAGUAAGUAAAAUUUACUACAACCUAAUUAGUGGACAAUUUGUGUUUAGUCGGUGUUUAUUUUCAAGCACUAAUUACUUUACUGUUAACUAUAUGUUUUUUGCUUGCGUUUUGAGCAGUAAAAUUAUUGAACUUAACUGUGUAAUUGCGAUUGCAUGUCUUCAUAUCAUAGUUAGAAACUUGACUAUUUAGCAGCUCUACCACUUUACACAGGAUAACUAUGGUGAUAGAUCAUG